rnacentral:lncRNA from 1 species
GCGUCUUUACCGCUAGGAAGGGUAGACAAUACUCAGGCGCCGAGACUGAGGGCUGCAGGCUUCUUAAAGUGCCUUGAUUGGAGAUGUGGAGCAGGUGUGUAGUCUCACUCAGCCUCAGCGCCGGGGGAGGGGAGGAAGCUCUGGAAGAAAGUAAAGCCAGUCCAGGCAGACAGGGAAACACAGGAAGUCCAGCCAAAAUAAAACAAGAUGAGGAGGCGUCUCACCACAGUACCCCCCCCCUUAACGAACGCCUCUUGGCGUUCGUUAAGGGCUUGUUGGGGUGAGCGACGUAGAAGUCGUCAAGGAGUUGGUGGUCCAGGAUGAGGGAGCGGGAGAUCCAGGAACGCUCCUCUGGACCGUACCCCUCCCAGUCCACAAGAUAUUGGAAGCCUCGCUGCCGCGGCGGCACGUCCAGGAUUUUCCGUACAGUGAGGGCAGGGUGGUCGUCAAUCAACCGGGGGGGUUGAGGGGCGACGGAGGGGCUCAGGGUGCAUGAGGUAACAGGUUUUAUCAAGGAGACAUGGAAUGUGGGGUGGAUUUUGAGAGAUGAAGGAAGUUUUAAUCUCACAGCUGAAGGGUUGAUGAUUUUCUGGAUCGGAAAGGGACCAAUGAAGCGGGGGGACAGCUUGCGGGACUCGGUCUGCAGGGAAAGGUCACGGGACGAUAACCAGACCAUCUGACCAGGACGAUAGUCUGGUGCUGGGGAGCGGUGCACAUCAGCCAGGCAUUUGUUGCGCUCCGCCAUGCGGGUAAGUUUGGAGGAGUGCCCCCACUGUAGGAUCUGGGAACGUGCAACCCCAGGGAUGAAUUUUCUGUCCGGCGGGCCAGUUCCCGGGUCUGGGUUGUUCCGGAGAGCCUGGUCCACAAUAGGGGUUGAUCUCCCAAGAGGCGGAGCCGAUGACACACGAGGCAGGGAGGAUGGUGUCCGGUUCGCUGGGGUCCGGGGUAACCGAGGAGUGGGUCCGAGAGAGGGCGUCUGGUUUGAGGUCGUGGGAGCCGGGACGAUAGGAGACGGUGAAGGUGAAUCUGCGGAGGAAGAGGGACCAGCGGACUUGCUUGGAGUUGAGGCUUCGAGCAGAAAGGAGGUAAAGAAAGUUUUUGUGGUCCGUCAAGAUGAGAAAUGGGUGUUGCGCUCCUUCCAGCCAGUGUCUCCAUCUUUGGAGUGCCCACACAACAGCCAGCAACUCACGGUUUCCCACGUUGUACUUUUGUUCGGUGGGUGAGAAUUUCCGGAAGAAGUAGGCGCAAGGAUGGAGCUUCUGGGUCUCGGUAUCCCUCCGUGAGAGGACGGCCCCCACUCCGGAGUCCGAGGCGUCGACCUCCACCAUGAACUGGAGAGAAGGAUCCGGGUGUCUGAGCACAGGGGGCGAGCGGAGGCAGUGAGAGUGGCAGUGAGGGCUCCAGGCGGAGAUUGACGCUGUGGACCAGUUGAUCUGGGGAUUGUGGAUCUGCAGCCAUGGGAGUCCAAGCACCAGGGGAGAGUGAGGAGAGGGAAGCAGGAACAGCCGGAUGUCCUCCCGAUGGUUACCGGAGAGGAUGAGGGUGAGAGGAGCAGUGCAGUGGGUGAUAGAGGCUAUCACUCUGCCAUCGAGAGCGGUGACCUUACGGGGGACCGGGAGUUCCUCCAGGGGGAGCUGAAGUCGCGCUGCCAGUCCGGCGUGAAUGAAGUUAUCGUCCGCCCCGGAGUCAAUAAGGGUUUGGAGCGACGUGGAGCCCUUCCCCCACAGGAGACAGGCUGGAACAGCGAUACGUCUGGGAGAGCUGGGAACAGAGGAGGUGUGGCUCUUCAGGGUGCCGACUGUCACUGAUGCCUGGCCGUUUGACUUAUUUGGGCAGUUGGCCAAAAAGUGACCGGCCUGGCCACAAUAAUCACAGAGCUUUAGCUCUAUCCUCCGUCUCCGUUCAUCUGGGUGUAGUUUGGUGCAGCCGAUCUGCAUGGGUUCCUCGGCAGAGGGCACCGGAUCUGGGAAGACUGAGGGCUGGAGAGGAGACCCGCUGACCGCAACAGAGGAAGGGGAGUCUAUAAGACGUACCGGGGAAUGACUUUUCUUCUCCCUCCGUCUCUCCCUGAGGCGAUUAUCUAUUCUGAUUGCUAGCGCUAUUAGCUCCUCAAGGGAGGAGGGCUCAUCUCGAGCCGCUAGCUCAUCUUUCAAUUGUUCAGAGAGGCCCCAAGUGAAUAUCCCUUUUAACUCGAGUUCCCCCCACCCACUCUCGGCCGCCACUGUACGGAACUCAAUGGAGUACUUCGCCACUGACCAAGAGCUCUGGGUGAGGGAAAACAACCGUUUGGUACACUCGGGGCCCUCGACAGGAAAAUCAAAUAUCUUCCGGAGCUCCUCUGAGAAUAGGGCGUAAGAGGAGAACAUAGGUGAUUCCCUAUCCCAGACAGCCGUAGCCCACUUAGCGGCUCUACCUCUCAACAGAUUUAUUGUGUAAGCUAUUUUAGACCGAUCUGAGGGGUAACUAAUGGGCUGUUGGUCAAAUACUAAGGCGCAGCGGAGCAGGAAACCUCUGCAGUCCCCAAUCUCCCCAGCAUACGGCUCAGGAGGAGGGACAUAGGGCUCUUUGAGGAUAGAGGGUGGUGGAGGAGGUGAAGAGGGGACCGUACUCACAGAGGGGGGAGAUCCUGUUUGCUGCGGUGGAAGCCGAGAGAGUAGUUGCUCCACCAGCUGCGCCACUUGAACCGAGAGGCCUUGAAAAGAACAAUUGAGAUCCUGGAGCAUAUCCUCAUGUUGACCAAGCCGCGUGCCGAGUUUCUUGACGGCUUGCUGAACUCGGUCUGGGUCUGCUGGGUCCAUUUUCCUGGCCUGAGUAUUCUGUAGUGUGGCUGGUUAGUUGUGAGGACCCAGAAGCAGACACUGAGACUGAGAUCAACUAAAGGUGUAAUUUUAAUGUCCAACUCAGGAUCGAAAUGCAAACAGAGGAAGUCCGGAGGGCUGGUUGGCAGGCUGUCGUGUGGGCUGGAGACACUGCAGGAAAAACUCAGCCUCAGCGCCGGGGGAGGGGAGGAAGCUCUGGAAGAAAGUAAAGCCAGACCAGGCAGACAGGGAAACACAGGAAGUCCAGCCAAAAUAAAACAAGAUGAGGAGGCGUCUCACCACA